UACAGGGGGUGCAAACGUUGCUCGGAAUUAUUGGGCGUAAAGCGCGCGUAGGCGGCCGCUUAAGUCGGAUGUGAAAGCCCCUGGCUCAACUGGGGAAGUGCACCCGAAACUGAGUGGCUUGAGUACUAAAGAGGGUCGCGGAAUUCCCGGUGUAGAGGUGAAAUUCGUAGAUAUCGGGAGGAACGACCGGUGGCGAAGGCGGCGACCUGGGUAGAUACUGACGCU
rnacentral:rRNA from 1 species